rfam:Capsicum annuum cultivar Zunla-1 chromosome 5, whole genome shotgun sequence
ACCUCAUGAUUUGGGCAUUGGGCUAACUUUCCAUUAAAUCUCUCCCAAGCAUCGAAUAAUGGUUCUUCAUUCAUUUACCAGAAGUUAACAAUCUCAUCCCGCUGUU